rnacentral:lncRNA from 1 species
UUUUGAGUCAGACUCACUAUCAUUGGUUGGUUAAAUAACAAAAUGCAAGUUCAGAAACUGCACAUGAUAGGAAUUCAACCUUAAUAUAUCAACCUUAAUAUAUGCUAUAUGCAAGAGUCAUGUUGACUACUAAUCCUCAGUUUGCUCAUUGGCAAAGUGGAAAUUUCUCUCUCUCCUCUCCCCAUUUGAUCAUCAGGACUCUGAGACUGAGCAAGUGGGGCUGAUUUUCAGGUGGGGAACAAUGCAGGCUGGAAGUUAUAUGUUUGAAUCCAGGUUCUGCCACUGGUUAACCAUAGGGGAAAUUAGCUACUUCCAGAAUAUCUUUGACCCUGAUUUCCCUCCUAUAAUGGGGCUCUUUCCAUUCCAGGUUACUGUGAGGACUGAAUGGGAUCCUGUCUGGAUGAGAAGCUGGCGUGCAACACAAUUUUUCCUUCACAGCCUGCCUUUAGCUGUUUUGGGCUACAGGAGUGAAUUUUCCCUGGAGCUUUAACAGAAAGCCUUCACCCCUGUGCUUUCAUCUGCCCCUCACAAGAGCUCUGUGAAGCUGGUUAAUAAAGAAAAUGGACCCCCA